rnacentral:rRNA from 1 species
CAGCCGCCGCGGUAAUACGGAGGGAGCUAGCGUUGUUCGGAAUUACUGGGCGUAAAGCGCGCGUAGGCGGUUACUCAAGUCAGAGGUGAAAGCCCGGGGCUCAACCCCGGAACUGCCUUUGAAACUAGGUGACUAGAAUCUUGGAGAGGUCAGUGGAAUUCCGAGUGUAGAGGUGAAAUUCGUAGAUAUUCGGAAGAACACCAGUGGCGAAGGCGACUGACUGGACAAGUAUUGACGCUGAGGUGCGAAAGCGUGGGGAGCAAACAGGAUUAGAUACCCGUGUAGUCCCUGUCUCUUAUAC